GAUGAAUGCUGGCGGCGUGCCUAAUACAUGCAAGUCGAGCGAACGGACGAGAAGCUUGCUUCUCUGAUGUUAGCGGCGGACGGGUGAGUAACACGUGGAUAACCUACCUAUAAGACUGGGAUAACUUCGGGAAACCGGAGCUAAUACCGGAUAAUAUUUUGAACCGCAUGGUUCAAAAGUGAAAGACGGUCUUGCUGUCACUUAUAGAUGGAUCCGCGCUGCAUUAGCUAGUUGGUAAGGUAACGGCUUACCAAGGCAACGAUGCAUAGCCGACCUGAGAGGGUGAUCGGCCACACUGGAACUGAGACACGGUCCAGACUCCUACGGGAGGCAGCAGUAGGGAAUCUUCCGUAAUGGGCGAAAGCCUGACGGAGCAACGCCGCGUGAGUGAUGAAGGUCUUCGGAUCGUAAAACUCUUUUAUUAGGGAAGAACAUAUGUGUAAGUAACUGUGCACAUCUUGACGGUACCUAAUCAGAAAGCCACGGCUAACUACGUG
rnacentral:rRNA from 1 species